rnacentral:rRNA from 1 species
GAUGAACGCUAGCGACAGGCCUAACACAUGCAAGUCGAGGGGCAGCACGAAGUAAGCUUGCUUACUUUGGUGGCGACCGGCGCACGGGUGCGUAACAGGUGUGCAAUCUGUCCAUAAUCGGGGAAUAGCCCAGCGAAAGUUGGAUUAAUGCUCCAUGUGAGCAGGGGAGGCAUCUCCUUUGUUUGAAACGUAAGGAUUAUGGGUGAGCACGCUUCUGAUUAGGUAGUUGGUGAGGUAACGGCUCACCAAGCCGACGAUCAGUAGGGGUUCUGAGAGGAAGGUCCCCCCACAUUGGAACUGAGACACGGUCCAAACUCCUACGGGAGGCAGCAGUGAGGAAUAUUGGUCAAUGGACGAAAGUCUGAACCAGCCGAGUCGCGUGAAGGAUGAAGGUUCUAUGGAUUGUAAACUUCUUUUGUCUGAGGGUAAAAAAGCGGACGUGUCCGUUCUUGCAAGUAUCAGACGAAUAAGCAUCGGCUAACUCCGUGCCAG